UGGGGAAUAUUGGGGCAAUGGGCGCAAGCCUGACCCAGCAACGCCGCGUGGGGGAAGAAGGUUUUCGGAUUGUAAACCUCUGUCCUUGGUGACGAAGGAAAUGACGGUACCUUAGGAGGAAGCUCCGGCUAACUACGUGCCAGCAGCCGCGGUAAUACGUAGGGAGCGAGCGUUGUCCGGAAUUACUGGGUGUAAAGGGAGCGUAGGCGGGAUUGCAAGUCAGAUGUGAAAUGUAUGGGCUUAACCCAUAAACUGCAUUUGAAACUGUAGUUCUUGAGUGAAGUAGAGGUAAGCGGAAUUCCUAGUGUAGCGGUGAAAUGCGUAGAUAUUAGGAGGAACAUCGGUGGCGAAGGCGGCUUACUGGGCUUUUACUGACGCUGAGGCUCGAAAGCGUGGGGAGCAAACAGGAUUAGAUACCCUGGUAGU
rnacentral:rRNA from 1 species